UUCUCACCGAAAGCACGUAAUCGCCGGUGUAACUCAUGUUGGCUGGGGGGCCUCCCGGCGCGCGGCGAGGCUGGGUGCUACCCUAUGGCAAUUGCUUGUGCUCAACUGCACGGUCCUGGCCCUCGAGUGCGCAGAGGGCGGCGAGAGAGCUCAACUCCUACCACCCACCACUCCCCGGGUGAGGGCUGCCACAGGCUGGCGGUGGCGGGGGGAGCUCGUCGCUGCGCGGCCCGUGCGUGAUCUCGGAAUCUAUUCGCCUGGAGGUUCGCGUUCGCAGUUGCACCUCCUUCUUCGCUGCCCCCCUCCCACGGGCUUGUUGUGGGAACCACCUCUGUCUCCGAUGCCGGCCGGACCCCCUUCGGGGCCAGGGUUCGCAGCCGUGGAUGUGCCUGCCUCGUGGCUUGCCCGAUUUGCACGGUGACUUGAUUACACGCUCUCAUUCAUGGUCACUUCCGAAGCGCUUUAGCGCCUUCCGUCCCUAAACCGCCAACAACCAGGGCGGCUUCCCCCGCGGUUUGUCAGGGAUCCGCAGGUUCCGGAAGGGCCUUCGUCUUACCCGGGAUCCACCUCCCCUUCCUUGUCCCUGCAGGCCUCCUCACCCCAAGCCCUGCCCUUGGAGAAACCCCUUCCUCCCUGCUGUCUGCCGGGGUUCGGGGUGACUCCGCAGAGCCAGAGGCGCGUGGACUGCGCCGCUGCGCACUGGUCCGCCCGCCGGGUCUUCUGGAGCUGAGGACUCGGAAACCAUGCAAUUGAGGCGAGACUUGGGCUGCUUUGGAGGCGCUGACAUCCGAGGAGACUUCUCCUGGGACUGACUGAACAAUGUUUGGGAGAAGCAGAAGAGGAGGGCAUAGAGCAGCUCUGCCUGACCAGGAGCUGGGAGGGGCCCAGCUCUGAGGCCUCCCCACACCUAUCUUCUUGCAAGGAACUGGAUGUCGCCGGAGAGAAGUUGAAAAAUGAAAAAGGAUAAAUUUUUCCCUUUCCCCAUCCAGGAAAUAGCCAAAGGAGGCCCAACAGCCAAGCUGAGCCCACUCGGCUCCACGGACGAUCCGAGGGGGGCGAAGCCUGCCCUGGAAGGCCAAGUGUGAGUUGCAUUUUUUGAAGAAUCCAAGACAGGCAAGGCUGUGACAUUGGCCCUGGAGACUGGUUUCCCACGAACCGUUCUUUCUCAGGAGCUCCUCAGUGCGGGGCCGUCUCCAGAAAACAGUCUUCAGUGUGUAUUUCCUUUUAUCGUCCACCCGGAGCCCCACGGCAGCUAAUGCUAGAGGCCAAAAAUGUUUUGGAGGAAGAAAAACAAAGGCAGGAAGUGGCGGCAGCCUGACGGUGCGUGUGUGUCUGCGGAGACGAAGGGAGGGAGCUGUUUCAAUCUCUUCUUGUUUUUCCAAACUUGAAGGUCUAGGCUGCCCUCGAAGAGCCGGCCCUCGCUCCCCGGCGCAGCGUUUGGAGAUGGCCACCCGGAGAGGAGCAGGCUGGCGCCCGAGCCAGCCUUGUCAGGCGGAAACGGCUAACGAGGCGAUUUGCUCAGCAAAGCAGACCAAGCCAUUCUCAACUUCGUUUGAUUUGGCCCUAAAAGUGGGGGGUUGGGGGAUUCUGCAGCGUCUCCUGGACCCUCCUCUGCGGGCAGGCUGAGUGCGCCUUGGCGGAGAUUGGUGAGCCCUGCGAGCCAUGCUCCAUGCACCCUUCCAGGCAGGAUAUCAUAUCGGAAUAAAGUGUGUCCAGGUGCCUCUGCCCAGCA